KYWSMRKKMRCCCUUAGAGUUUGAUCCUGGCUCAGAACGAACGCUGGCGGCGUGCUUAACACAUGCAAGUCGAACGUGAUCCAGGGCUUGCUCUGGUGAAAGUGGCGCACGGGUGAGUAACGCGUGGAUAACCUGCCCUGGUAUCUGGGAUAACAUCUCGAAAGGGGUGCUAAUACCGGAUAAGCCUACGGGAUCUUCGGAUUCUGCAGGAAAAGGAGGCCUCUAUUUAUAAGCUUCCGUAUCAUGAUGGGUCCGCGUACCAUUAGCUAGUUGGUGGGGUAAUGGCCUACCAAGGCGACGAUGGUUAGCUGGUCUGAGAGGAUGAUCAGCCACACUGGAACUGAGACACGGUCCAGACUCCUACGGGAGGCAGCAGUGGGGAAUUUUGCGCAAUGGGGGAAACCCUGACGCAGCAACGCCGCGUGAGUGAUGAAGGCUUUCGGGUCGUAAAGCUCUGUCAGAGGGGAAGAAAUGGGUCGUGCUAAUAUCACGGCUUCUUGACGGUACCCUCAAAGGAAGCACCGGCUAACUCCGUGCCAGCAGCCGCGGUAAUAC
rnacentral:rRNA from 1 species